GUUGAAGACGUCGUGGUGGGGUUUAUUAGAAAGACAAAAGCUGAUCUGUACUCCAUCCAAAUCGAAGGUUCGCUGUUAACCGAUCUCAGAGUCAGUGAUCAAGAUCAAGAACAAGAACAGUGACAACUAACUCGUCUCCAUCGAAGUCCAAGCAAUCAAAUAGAAAAAAGGAGGAGGACGGGCCACUUUCAGUUUUUUUUUUUUUUUUUUUUUUUUUUCUGCAAAAGGUAGACAGGAGCACAUGAGUGCGAGAAUAGAUUUAGCUACUUAUAUAUGUAUUGGCUGCUCCAUAUCCCUCCGAAUAUCAAAGUGAAAAUAAAUAAGAAAGUUGCGGAUAACCUGCUUGAUCAAGCUAGCUACUAGCAGUUUAGACAUUUUCAUACUUUGUUCUCAGACCCUUAGAAGCAAGUUUGGCAAUCAUAAGAAACUGUGUGACAUUCUUAUUCUAAUGGCAAUGCGAAUGUGAAUGGAAAUCGAAAUGGAGUGAAUGGAGAAUACCAUCAAAUACUAAGAGUUGCUAGAAGAGCUAUUGGUACGAGGAAUAAAUUGAAAGAUGCAGCUUCCCUCUUAACAGCAGCUAAAUCAAUGGCUGUGGGACAUUAUGGAUGAGUUUAUGUACCAGUUUUAGAGCUUCUGUCAGUAUAGGCCUAAGAUGAAGAACAAGACUAAGCAGGAGACUACUUUUCUCAGACAGUUUGAUCAAGUCUUGAAGAAAAAGAUUGAUCUAUUUGAGCUCCGGUGAUAUGGCUAUUGCAUGUUUAGAGCUCUAGCAUGCUUGCAUAAACAGGGUGUGGUGCACAGAGCUGUUAAGCCCGGAAACUUCCUCUUCUCUCAGAAGCUAAGCAAAGGUUACCUGAUUGAUUUCGACCUUGCCAUGGUUUGGAAAACGGCUUCUCUGUGCCAUUUGGUUCACACAGCGGCUCUUCUUGCUGCGCCCCUCACAAAAAAACUCAAUAUUGCCUUUUAACUACUGGUAUACUCGCAUUCUCGGGGAUGUUUUAAAUUGCAAGACCGGGUAUAGGUAGUCUACUGGUCUUCGCUAAAUUGCAAGACCAGGUAGCAAGGUGAAAAGCUUACCUUCUCUGCGUCGAGUUUCCCCGUUGUUCCCCAUGAGCGUGGUCGAGUGUUCUUGGAACUUCUGGACUGUACAUGUCAGGAUCAUCUGUUGAGCAAAGACCUUAGCCACAGAGUUUCAGAUGAUUCUACUGAAACAGGGAAGGGUAGGAGACUUGGAGGGGCGGAUUUGAAACAUUUUUACCUGAACACUAGGUGAUUUUAUUCUGCUCUGCUUUUCAAGACAUUCUUUUGCAUAUAUCAACAGAGUGACAGCCAAUCAAAUCUCAUCAAACGCAUGCGUCAACAGCUAACGAACCAACUGAUAAAACAUUAGAAGAACUCAUGUGAAGUAAUUGGUUUGAACUAAAAAGGUAGGAUAUUUUGGUGACAAAACUAAUCACUUUUGAAUUUGUAUACAAGGAACAAUAACAGCUUUUGUAA